GCGCCGCCCUCGGCACGGAGCCUCGGGCUCCUCAGGUGCCACUCAGGUCUGUGCAGACGCGGCCCUCGAGCCGGGCGGACUGGCUUUGUCUCUGUCGACUAUUGCAAUAGAAAUCCGAUCGGAUACGACGACUUGCACGUACUUUAAUAGCAUCAUAACUAGAACUGAAUUUUGUCUUUAUUAUUUUUAAAGGAAAGUUUUGUAAAUUUCUCUAUCGCCUCAGUUUACAUUUUGUAUAUUUGUAUUUAAAUGAAAGUCAGACUUUGAGGGUGUAUAUUUUCUGUGCAGCCACUGUUAAGCCAUGUGUUUUCAGACAUUUUAGAGGGGGAGGGGUGGGGGGGGAAUUUACCAAAAAAAAAAUGUGACUCAAGACUUCCACAGCCUCAAAUGAGAAAACGUUUUUAUUAAAGGUAGAAAACGAUUCACGUUUCACCUCGAGAGGGUCGGUUGCAUCCAUCUCUCUAACCUUUGCCGGGCGUUGACAUCGCCCGCUGGUCAUUUGGAAGAAUCGGAAUUAAAUGCUCAGAGACGCACCUGGGACUUCACCCCCGGCCCGGACGCCCUGUGCGGGGCCUGUGGAGUGGCCUGGGGCCAGCUCCGUGGGAUCCACACGUCUCCUCGUUGCCUUGGCCCCGGCCCCCUCUUCCUCCUGCGAGACGGCCGUGUGUCGCGCCAGAGCCGGCGCCUUCAGCAUCUUCUCUGGGCCCCUUUCUUUCUAAGCAGGUUCGGACUGUAAAGCCAGUGCGUCUUCAAGAGGCGUGUGUCUGGGGAUUUUUGUUUUAUUCUAAGAGAAGCAUAGCGAUGAUAAGGAGUAAUCAUGGAGCCCCCUGUGUCCCAAACUUUUAUGGCCCAAGGGGGGUCACUGGGUCACCUGAAUAAGUCUUGAGAGGGGAGGGGCUUGCCAGGGACUCCGGGCACAAUCCUUAAGUCAUAGGGGUCAUAGGGUCUCGAGAGCUGCCCGGGACCCCACAGAUGCGUGGGCCCAGGUGGUACGGACAGCGUUGGCUCUCCAAGCAAAUGGCUGCCCAAGGAGAGGCCGGGCCACCGAAGAAGCUCAAGUCAAGCUCAUGGUCACCUCCUGGGAGAGGGGGCGCAGGGGCCAGCUCUAACCUGGGACCACAAAGUUCCAGGCACAUGUGGCCCCAGGAGGCAGUGCCUGGCCUUUAGAGCAUGGCCGUCGGUCCUAGGGAGCCGCUGGACCCCUGCUGUCUCCAGAAGGUGACAGGAGCAAUUCCUCCUCGCCACGCCCUCACAGGGUGAGCUCUGCAGCUCCCCUGCUCCCCUGCUCCCUGGCUGAGUCCCCGGGGACCCUGUCGGCCUCAGUGGGACCUGGCCCAGCCCAGGCAACUACAGGGUUUCUCCGGGUCUGGGCCCUGCACCGGCAUCUCCUGUAAAAUGCAGGUUCCAGGCUCCACCCUAAACCUAGAGAUCUGCAGCGUUCCGAGGCUCUGCCGGUCCCGCUGACGCCCCGCGGGUGUGAGAGCCACGCCGUCGGUGGGUCUCAGGUGUGAUCAUGCCAACAUCGCUCAGGGGCCCCAGGCAGCCUUGGGGUAUGAGCGUUAGGGGGAAGUGGCGAGCAUGUCAGCCAGUCUCCAGGCUCUUUCCCGAAGCCUUGCCCAUGGUCCUGGGGCCGCUGCUCGAGAGGGGCCUGACCUUGGGACGGGCAUUUUGAGGUCAUUUUACAAACAAAUGGGAGAGAAGAAACAGUGGGCUUCCCGCCGAUCCCUUCAAUGUGCCGUGUUGUUUCUUCAAGACCUGCUCUUGUCUCAAGAGGCUGCCCCACUUCCCUCCGUGGGCUGGAGACAAGGCAAAUGCAGAGCUACGUUCAGUUUUGCCAGGAAGCGGACACUCUUCGGCCCGUACGUCAAGGUCCCCGAGCUCUUGCUGGCCGUCCUUUCUUCAUGACGAGGACAGUCACCAGCCACCGCGUUCAUUUCUUUCCCCCAAUUCUCAGGACCCAGCCCUUAGCACACGGACUGGCGCUGAGAAGGCAGCCUGUCUUCAUACCUGAGCCCACGCGCUGUCCGUCUGUCGUGGGGAGUCCUCCAGGGGUGAGACACAGAUCUGCGUGGCCAGAGCUCAGACCACGAAGCGCAGGUCCCUGGUGGCUCAGGCAGCGGGAGCCUGUCCCCAGAGCGCCCACGGACACAGGUCGGGGCCGCCGGCCUUCUCUCCCUUGGGGCCCUUGGCUCCCCCAGAGAAGGGAAGCGAAUUCAGGGCCUGACAACCGGCCUCCUCCCACCGAGCCCAGUCCCCAAGGGCCCUUCCUGUCCCUGACCCUCCCCGCUCUGCCACCCCUUCUACCCCCACUUGUUUUCUAUAGCAGCAUUUUUUAAAAAGGUGUUUUUUAAUUUAAAAAAACAACAAAACACAACACCUUCCCACCCACCCACCUGUCCGGGACGAGGCGUAGCUGGACGGUGAGUGGGUUUAAUCUUUUCUACAGCCUCUGAGCUCCCUCAGAAGAGCUGUUCUUCCUCCAAGCGUGACAUUUCCUCACCUGAGUCCUCGGACGUCGUGCCUUCGAGGAGAGACGGGGUCUUUGCAGAGGCAUCUCUGCUCCCCGUUUUCAGGAGAGGAGCUGCUGUCCCCGAUGGGAUGGGAGAUGAGUGCUCACCCUCCCCUACCCCCCAGCUCUCGUGGCAUCACGGGGUGUCACGGGACCCGGCCACCCUCGCAGAGGAGGCCCCGCAGCCCACAUCAGCUCCCCUUCCGAGGCCGGAGCGUCACUUCCAAAGCCGCGAGCUUUGGGCGGCUCCCUGACCCCAUGGCUCAGGGUGGCCAUGUCCCCAGCUGCCAGGCCGGUUUGCUUGUUUCCUCAAAAGCUGCUCUCACAGAGGGGACACCGGGCCUGGGGGGUGGGGGGGAGGCCACACCGCGCAGAAGACAGCAGCGUGGCCCGGCUCUAGGCACACGCGGCCCGCCGGGACACGAGGCGUGAGGUCUGGGGACAUGCGUGGCGUGGAUGGCACCAGUGGGGGGAACGUGGCCUCUCCAGGGGGAACCUCGGCCACGGACGAGCAGGAGUCCCCCGAGGUGAAGCGGAGCCCGGCCGGCAUCGCUGUCCUCUCAGCUGCAUGUGCUCUGUCCCCGCGAACUGGCACCUUCCGAGGGCGCCUCUCCCAUUCUCAGGCCCCACCCUCCGGCCGAGGCAGGGCCUCCUCGCCUUCGAGCCCCUGUUGCCGAGAGACGGUGUGAAAUGGGUGCGUUUUGAAGUUUUGAAGCUCGGAGCUGUGAGUGGGGAAGGCGGAGAGCUCACUCCUCUCUGAACCGAGCGGCGGCUUUGGACGGGGGCCCACGGGACAGACCCUGCUCGGCCGCGUGCUGGUCUGGUCUGACCUUCGAGGCUUGCGCUGCAGACAGUGGUCAAACCGGAAAGGCUGGCUCUCCCUCGAGGCGAAGGCAGUUCCUGAGAAGAAUCUAGAUGCCUUUCCGGCCAUCGCCAUCGAUAAGGCAUGUUGUAAUAGACCAAACGCAAAUGUGCUCCAUUUGGAAGGGCUCAGUGGCUGUUGGUGGUGGUAGAAUAAUAACCCUAGUAGCCAAAGGACCUACUUUCUUCAGGGACAUGUAAUGGGGGUGAGUGACAGCGGUUCCCUUUCGGGGGUCGUUCCCUUUCCGGGGUCGUGGCUGGGAUGAUGGCUGGGCUCUGCUGCGCUGGGUCUGUGUCCGUGGAACACGUCGCAGUGCUGCUGUGUCCAGAUCAAACCACUGUCGUUUUUUUAAGAGAAAUAAAGUCCUUAAUGAAAAGAA